GACGAACGCUGGCGGCGUGCCUAAUGCAUGCAAGUCGAACGCACUGCCUUCGGGCAGUGAGUGGCGCACGGCUGAGGAACACGUGGGAAUCUGCCCGACCGUGGGGGAUAACACGCCGAAAGGCGUGCUAAGCCCGCAUACGCUCGCAAGAGGAAAGCGGUAACGCGCGGUCGGAGGAGCCUGCGGCCCAUCAGGUAGUCGGCGGGGUAACGGCCCACCGAGCCGGUGACGGGUAGCUGGUCUGUGAGGACAGACAGCCAGACUGGGACUGAGACACGGCCCAGACUCCUACGGGAGGCAGCAGCAAGGAAUUUUCGGCAAUGGGCGCAAGCCUGACCGAGCAACGCCGCGUGGAGGACGACGGCCUUCGGGUUGUAAACUCCUUUUGUCGGGGUACGGAGUUGUGACUGUACCCCGCGAACUCAGGCUCGGCCAA
rnacentral:rRNA from 1 species